rnacentral:rRNA from 1 species
UACGUAGGGUCCGAGCGUUGUCCGGAGUUACUGGGCGUAAAGCGCGCGCAGGCGGCUUCAUAAGUCUGGCGUGAAAGCCCCCGGCUCAACCGGGGAGGGUCGUCGGAGACUGUGGAGCUUGAGGGCGGUAGGGGCUGGUGGAAUUCCCGGUGUAGUGGUGAAAUGCGUAGAGAUCGGGAGGAACACCUGUGGCGAAGGCGGCCAGCUGGGCCGACCCUGACGCUGAGGCGCGAAGGCGUGGGGAGCAAACAGG